GCCUUCUUAGCUCAGUUGGUAGAGCGCGGGUGAGUUUAAACCCUUUCAAGCUUCCCCAUUGAUCUUAUACUGACAUUCAUGACAGCACUAGUACGACUGCUAUGCCGAGGUCGCCAGUUCAACUCUGUCAGGAGGCA
rnacentral:tRNA from 2 species